rnacentral:rRNA from 1 species
UACGGAGGGUGCGAGCGUUAUCCGGAUUCACUGGGUUUAAAGGGUGCGUAGGUGGGUUUGUAAGUCAGUGGUGAAAUCUCCAGGCUUAACCUGGAAACUGCCAUUGAUACUAUAGAUCUUGAAUUUUCUGGAGGUAAGCGGAAUAUGUCAUGUAGCGGUGAAAUGCUUAGAUAUGACAUAGAACACCAAUUGCGAAGGCAGCUUGCUACAGGGAUAUUGACACUGAGGCACGAAAGCGUGGGGAUCAAACAGG